UAGGGAAUAUUGGGCAAUGGGCGAGAGCCUGACCCAGCCAUGCCGCGUGAAGGAUGAAGGCCUUCUGGGUUGUAAACUUCUUUUAUACAGGAAGAAAAAGGUCAUGCGUGACCAAUUGACGGUACUGUAUGAAUAAGCACCGGCUAACUCCGUGCCAGCAGCCGCGGUAAUACGGAGGGUGCAAGCGUUGUCCGGAUUUAUUGGGUUUAAAGGGUGCGCAGGCGGUGCGUUAAGUCAGUGGUGAAAUCCCUCAGCUCAACUGAGGAACUGCCAUUGAUACUGGCGUACUUGAGUACGGACGAGGUAGGCGGAAUUUAUGGUGUAGCGGUGAAAUGCAUAGAUACCAUAAAGAACACCGAUAGCGAAGGCAGCUUACUAGACCGUAACUGACGCUCAUGCACGAAAGCGUGGGGAGCGAACAGGAUUAGAUACCCCCGUAGUCC
rnacentral:rRNA from 1 species